CACCGCCCGCCACACCAUGGGAGUUGGUUUCACCCGAAGGCAGUGCGCUAACCCGCAAGGGAGGCAGCUGACCACGGUGGGAUCAGCGGCUGGGGUG
rnacentral:rRNA from 1 species